rnacentral:rRNA from 1 species
AACGAACGCUGGCGGCAUGCCUAACACAUGCAAGUCGAACGAGACCUUCGGGUCUAGUGGCGCACGGGUGCGUAACGCGUGGGAAUCUGCCUUUGGGUUCGGAAUAACAGCGAGAAAUUGCUGCUAAUACCGGAUGAUGACGUAAGUCCAAAGAUUUAUCGCCCAAGGAUGAGCCCGCGUAGGAUUAGCUAGUUGGUGAGGUAAAGGCUCACCAAGGCGACGAUCCUUAGCUGGUCUGAGAGGAUGAUCAGCCACACUGGGACUGAGACACGGCCCAAACUCCUACGGGAGGCAGCAGUGGGGAAUAUUGGACAAUGGGCGCAAGCCUGAUCCAGCCAUGCCGCGUGUGUGAUGAAGGCC